rnacentral:rRNA from 1 species
UACGAAGGGGGCUAGCGUUGCUCGGAAUCACUGGGCGUAAAGGGUGCGUAGGCGGGUCUUUAAGUCAGGGGUGAAAUCCUGGAGCUCAACUCCAGAACUGCCUUUGAUACUGAAGAUCUUGAGUUCGGGAGAGGUGAGUGGAACUGCGAGUUGUAGAGGUGAAAUUCGUAGAUAUUCGCAAGAACACCAGUGGCGAAGGCGGCUCACUGGCCCGAUACUGACGCUGAGGCACGAAAGCGUGGGGGAGCAAACAGG